GCCCUCGUAGAGAAAUGGUAACUCGUCAGCCUCCUAAGCUGAAGAUUGCGGGUACGUCAACGUUCAAUUCUGGUUGUAGCCGCA